CCUACGGGUGGCAGCAGUAGGGAAUAUUGCGCAAUGGACGGAAGUCUGACGCAGCGACGCCGCGUGAGCGAUGAGGGUCUUCGGAUCGUAAAGCUCUAUCCUUGGGGAAGAAGGUCUUCGGACUUGACGGUACCCAAGAAGAAAGCCCCGGCUAACUACGUGCCAGCAGCCGCGGUAAUACGUAGGUGGCAAGCGUUGUCCGGAAUUACUGGGUGUAAAGGGCGUGUAGGCGGGAGGACAAGUCAGAUGUGAAAGCCCAUGGCUUAACUGUGGAAUUGCAUCUGAAACUGUUGUUCUUGAGUGCUGGAGAGGAAAGUGGAAUUCCUAGUGUAGCGGUGAAAUGCGUAGAGAUUAGGAGGAACACCAGUGGCGAAGGCGGCUUUCUGGACAGUAACUGACGCUGAGGCGCGAAAGCGUGGGGAGCAAACAGGAUUAGAUACCCUGGUAGUC
rnacentral:rRNA from 1 species